rnacentral:lncRNA from 10 species
AAGGAAGAAAAAAAGGCAGAUUUUGCAACUAUACAUAACUUAACAUUCAUGCACCAUGUAAAAAUAAUGUGGACUUUGUUCAAAAUUUCUACCACUAGUCAUUCACUGAAUUAAAGCAGUCAUUUCCUUCCUUUUCCUGAUAAGAUCAUUUUUCUGAUUUUGACAAACUUUUAUGAUUAACAACAGGUAGGUACUGAGAAAUUGAGCAAUUCACAAUAGAAUGGAUAUGGCAGCAGCUUCAAAAUUUACAAAAUAGUUGAUUAUGAUCACAUGCUACACCCUCGACUUGCUGAUGGGGCAGCGUGGAUUCAACCAGGAAUGUCCUCCUUCCUGAAUGGAUGAUGAUGGGGCAAACACAGCGUUCCAGUCACUAGACAUGUACCUCCUAUGCAGGGAAGAAAUGCAUGAGAAAUUUGCAAAGAGGGAAAGCCAAGAGCACCUGUAGUGUUCUGGAGGUAGCUGCACACUGACAUCCCUUCACACCCAGUGGCCUCUUGUGAAAGAGAAGGCAAUGCAAUGCCGUCGGAGACAAAGCCCAGCUGAAGAGAGGCAGUGCACUUGCUGAUGGAUACUAAAUGAAAAGCAGGCAGAAAUCAGCAAUGCAUCCAGCUUCUGUUGAGGGAGAUUCAGUGGAAUGAUUUUUAUAUUUUCAUGAAGAAAUUACAGUUGAAUAUUAAAACCUGGUAUUUCAGUUUAUCUGGUCUGACUCCCAUCUAACUAACCAACAUAGCCAUGGAUUUUGUAAAACUCACUUAGCAAAUCAUCUUAAUUGGUACCAAAAAAGUGAUGGCUAUGGAAAUAUUGGCAUUUCUAUGUGCAUAACUGAUGUUUUUAUGAGGAUAAGAGGGAGAGAAGAAUCACAUUUCAAAGAAGCUUCUACUGAAAUAAACUAACCAGAAGAACUAAUUGUGGCAUACUUAACAGCUUUGAGCUUUAUGUGUACACUACCUAUGUUUCCUGUUCAGCAAGUGAAUGUCCCCAGGCCGGUAGGGGCAAUGUGAAGAUGAAUCUUAUAUCUCCAAUUUCUCGAAGAACAUUUAUUCAUCUUCCUGGAAUUCACUCAUUGCCAGUUCUUUUAGAAAUACUGACACAGUUAAUAGUGUCUAAUGUCGUGGAUGACUGCCUUCCACCGAUGUCGUGACUUCCCACCCAAGAACCAAUGACUUCUUUCUCUGUGAUUCAGCUCUCCACUGACCCUCAUGGGCAAGAGUGGGGUUUCAGCAAUUAUUCUUUCAACCUCUAUUGAUUAAUCACACGAUAUAAGCCAGACACAGUUCUGGGCAGCAGGAUACAAUAGUGAACAAGACAACCCCAAAUCCCUGCUCUUGUGGAACUGACAUUUUCUCAUGGGGUGUGGGGGUUGGGGAAGAAUGAGAGAUGUUAAAUGCAAAACCAAAAUAAAAGAAAUUUUAAGAUCAUGUGAUAGGGAGUGGCUGGCUGGUCAGGGAUAGCCUCUCCAGGACUGGGACAUUCAUGGGAGUUGACAUGUGAAUUAUGAGAAGAAGCCGACAAUGCCAAGAUCACAUGGCAACACGUUUCAUGCAAAAGAAACAGCCAGCAUGAAGCCUGUGAGCUGGGAACAAGACCGGCUCAGGUCAAGGGACAGACAAAAAGGCCAACAAGGCUGAAAAAGAAUAAGGAAGAGGAGAGGGGUGUGAGGUUCAGCAGGAAAGAUCUGAAGGACUGGGUCAGACAGGGUUCUUCAGGACAUGGAAAAGAAUUUGAAUUUUUUAAAUAAAUGCAAUGAGAAGACACUGGAGAAUUUUAAUCAUGAGGGUAACAUAGUCUGUUUUGCAUUUGAAAACUAACAUUGUGACUGUUAGGCAGCAAAUGAAGUUGCCCUCCCCCAGUCCAUCCCUGGCCGUGGUUGAUCGAAACAUAAGUGACCAUCUUACCCGGUGUGUUUUUUGUCACUAUGGAAUUUGCAUUUAGGAACAAAGGGUCUGUGUUUAUUCAAGUGGUCUCUUCAUGGGGCCGAUACUGUAACAUACAUAGCUGGGGGUCUGAGGCAGCCACGUUGUGCCAAGGGCACUGAGGAGAAAAUGGCGGCCUGCUGGAUUCUUCUUUCUUCUGAGGCUCAGGUGACUGCUUGUCCUCAUAUCACUCCACCAGACUGUCAGGAGCUAAGCGGAGCUCGAGAGAGCUGAGCUGCCAGGUGUCAGGGUAGCUGAUUAAGACAACAAGCCAAGAUGAACAGUGAAGGCUUUAAUCAUUUACUGCAAUAGUAUGCACAAGAGACUAAACCAGAGAAAGUGCCGACUCCCCAUCAUUCCAUUUUCCCCAGCGCACCAGCCCUCAUUGAGGGUCUGGAUCAGCACUGAAGCCAAGGGAUUGUCUCACAGCUGAGGGACCCCUGAACAAGAGACUCCCGCCAUCAAAUGGAUCUGGAGCUGGCGGGGGGUGGGGAGAAGGAAGGGCUAUGAGUGUGAAAGUACUGAGCACUGAGUCAGAGUGGAGAAAAACAUCUCCAAGCCUCCCCGCUUCUUCUCCUUGAUAAGGUGACCCCUGCAGAGGUGUCUAAGAUAAGCCUCUGCAGAAAGCCUGUGAUAAAGAGGCCUCCAAAGAGAGGCACCUGGGCCAGGAAUGUGGAUGUGCAUAAGAGCAAGGCUGGCUGGGGGGACUCAGUGCUUGACUGCAACUCCCCUCAGAGACUCAAUGUGUCGGCUGUGCCCCAAGUCUGCAGUGGGGAGGGCAGUUUCUCCCCACGAGGUCUGACAGAUGUGAGAGAUGGAGUAAGAGAAAACCAUACCACAAUGGCUGCUGCCAGGCAGGAGUACGUCUUGGGCUGCUACUGUGGCUUCAUCACGUCCCCAUCCUGUGCUUAGAGGAGACCUCAUGGUUACAAGGUGGCCUCCCUCACUUCUAGGAGGACAUGAUAUCUAAAAUAUUUCACAAAUGGUACAGAUCUGGAGGCCCCUGCUCUUCCAGGAGUUUUUCCCUUUAGAAUCACAGGGAGAUCCAGGGGGCUUGGGCAAGGCACUAAGACAAAGAGGGACACUUGGGGAAUUCAGGAAAGUUGCUAUUUACCAACUGAUGGGAAAGUCUUUCAGCAUUUUCACAACUGCACCACCGUAUCUGUGGUAGCAGCUGAAUAUCCGUCCCAUUUCUAGAAUUCAGGUGGAAGGAGGAGGGAAGAAGAAGGGUGUGGGUUUCUCUUUUAGCAGGGCAUUGCAUUUAUUUCCUAAGAACAUUCUCCCAAGAAACUAAUACCCAAAUCUCACUGGGCCAAAGUAGGCCACGCGACAACUACUAACUGCAAAGGGGCAUGCAUCUGUGUUUUCCAAGCCUCUGCAAUCCAGAGAGGCAAGGAAAAGGGAGUUGUGACUGGCUUUUGGAAAGCCACUUCCCAGUUUCUGCUACACCUUAUCAUUAUGGUUUGGGAAGGGCACGAUUAAAGGCCAGCUCAUCUAUCCUAGAGGUGGGCAAAUUGAGAACGAGGAUCUCAGAAAGCAAAAAGCCCAACUUAAAGUAAUGCAUUAUAUUUUGAACACUGAAUGUUUGACAAUACAUUUCACGGCUCAUUUCCUGCUACUUGUGAAUGCUAGUAAACACUCAGAGAGCGAAUUCACAUUUUUCAUGUCAAAUAUCCUUAUGGUUCUCCCCUCCCCCAGCUUGUCAACAGUUAAACAGGCCCCUGUGAGGACAGUCUGUUCACACUAUAAUCUUCUGCGACACUAAACCUUAAUCUGUCUUAAAAAUUUCUAUUGUUUUUCACUAAAAGGUUAUUCCAGAAAUAUUUUAUAGAGCACAUUCAUUUUCUUGGCUGAGAAUGAAUUGCAAAAUCAGAGACACUCUAACCAAUACUGAAUCUCCCUUCCCAGUCCAAAUUUAAGAAUUUCAUGCGGAUUACUCAUUGCCAUCUAUCUAGCUAAUUCAAUGUCAUUAUUUUUCUCUGGUCCAGGCAGAAUUUACCCUUCCCUGAAAUGAGCUUAUCCCAUAAGAUAUUAGUGGAAGGAGAACAAUGUUGGUGAAGUUAGAGUCCCUGAAGUCCACACAUCCACUCUCAAGCCUGGAAUUAAGGAUCUGUCAAAGUCUUCCAUUAGAAGAGAAAUUUUUUUUUUUUUUUGAGACGGAGUCUCGCUCUGUUGCCCAGGCUGGAGUGCAGUGGCAUGACCUUGGCUCACUGCAACCUCUGCCUCCCGAGUAGCUGGGACUACAGGCACCCGCCAUCAUGCCCUGCUAAUUUUUGUAUGUUUAGUAGAGUCAGAGUUUCACCAUGUUGGCUAGGCUGCCCACCUCAGCUUCCCAAAAUGGUGGGAGUACAGGCAUGAGCUACCGCACCCAGCCUGUUUUUUUUUUUUUUUUAAAUGAUUGCAACUUGCAAAUUAAUAAAACAGAGAAUCAGGAAAGAGUUUGACUUAGCAACUAGUGACCUUCCCUAAAUACUUGGUUUUGCCUUUGAUUUCAUUCCCGCACUCCAACCUUACCCUGUUCUUAGCCUAAAUCUCACUUACUAUACAGAUUACAAUUUAUCUGCCACUUCCUUUCAUAGGCUUUCUCUGUCCCAAAGACUGAGUAAGGAACUUUGUCUGAACCUCCUCAUCGUCUACUCUCAUUUCUAACAUCCUAGCAAGUCUACAUCAUGGUGCAUAUGCAGCACUGUCCAAUGGAAAUGGAUGCAAGCCAUAUGUGUAAUUUAAGAGUCUCUAGUAGCCAUUUAAAAAAAGUAAAAAUAAACAAGUAAAACUAAUUUUAACAUAUUUUCUUUAAUGGAAUAUGUCCAAAGUAAUAUCAUUUUGAUAUCUAAUCAAUAUGAAAAAUACUAAUGGCAUAUUUUACAUCCCUUCAGUAGUUCCAGUGAAUGCUUUAUAUUUACAUAUCCCUCAAUUCAUUUCCUUCUUCCCUUCCUUCCUUCCUUCUUCCCUUCCCUUCCCUUUCCCUUUCUUCCUUCCUUCCUUGCCUCCCUCCCUCCCCCUC